rnacentral:rRNA from 1 species
UCCUACGGGAGGCAGCAGUGGGGAAUAUUGCACAAUGGGCGAAAGCCUGAUGCAGCGACGCCGCGUGAGGGAUGACGGCCUUCGGGUUGUAAACCUCUUUCAGCAGGGACGAAGCGCAAGUGGCGGUACCUGCAGAAGAAGCACCGGCUAACUACGUGCCAGCAGCCGCGGUAAUACGUAGGGUGCGAGCGUUGUCCGGAAUUAUUGGGCGUAAAGAGCUCGUAGGCGGUUUGUCGCGUCGGCCGUGAAAACUUGGGGCUUAACUCCAAGCUUGCGGUCGAUACGGGCAGACUUGAGUUCGGCAGGGGAGACUGGAAUUCCUGGUGUAGCGGUGAAAUGCGCAGAUAUCAGGAGGAACACCGGUGGCGAAGGCGGGUCUCUGGGCCGAUACUGACGCUGAGGAGCGAAAGCGUGGGGAGCGAACAGGAUUAGAUACCCUGGUAGUCCACGCCGUAAACGGUGGGUGCUAGGUGUGGGGGGCUUCCACGCCCUCUGUGCCGCAGCUAACGCAUUAAGCACCCCGCCUGGGGAGUACGGCCGCAAGGCUAAAACUCAAAGGAAUUGACGG